rnacentral:rRNA from 1 species
AUGGUCCUUUCAGUUUCCUUGUUGGUGUCAACUUGCAACAUAUUCAGCCAAAAGUUGGGGAAUUCGAGCUACAAACUACUGCUCCCUGACAGUGCAUAGAUUCACAAUGUAUUCCAUGUGAGUCAGCUCAAACGCCACAUUGGGCCUACAGUUGUUCCUGCCCCCGGAAUGCCACUUGUGGAUACCACUGGCAAGAUCAAAGUAGCUCCAAUCAUGGUCUUGGAAACACACGCAGUACCUCGACCUCCUAAAUUGGUCACUCAGUGGCUCGUUCAGUGGCUGAAUAUGUCUCCUGAAGAAGCCACAUGGGAAGACGCUGACUUCAUCAAAUUCACAUUCCCAGACUUCUUCAACGCCACAAUUCGCGCAUGGUUUCCGCAUAAUGAUCCUCGGGGACAAGGAUCUUCUUCUGGAGGGGUGAAUUGUCAGGACCCUGAAGUGCAUACGCAAGACUCUGAAGAAUUGAACACCUCAACUGAAGAAAUGAACAGCGAGGAUGAAGCGUUCCUUUCCUGGGAAAUGAAGGGCCAUGAUUGA